rnacentral:rRNA from 1 species
AUUGAACGCUGGCGGCAUGCUUUACACAUGCAAGUCGAACGGUAACAGGCCGCAAGGUGCUGACGAGUGGCGAACGGGUGAGUAAUGCAUCGGAACGUGCCCAGUCGUGGGGGAUAACGUAGCGAAAGCUGUGCUAAUACCGCAUACGAUCUAUGGAUGAAAGCGGGGGACCGUAAGGCCUCGCGCGAUUGGAGCGGCCUAUGUCAGAUUAGGUAGUUGGUGGGGUAAAGGCCCACCAAGCCAACGAUCUGUAGCUGGUCUGAGAGGACGACCAGCCACACUGGGACUGAGACACGGCCCAGACUACUACGGGAGGCAGCAGUGGGGAAUUUUGGACAAUGGGCGCAAGCCUGAUCCAGCAAUGCCGCGUGCAGGAAGAAGGCCUUCGGGUUGUAAACUGCUUUUGUACGGAACGAAACGGUCUGGGUUAAUACCUCGGGCUAAUGACGGUACCGUAAGAAUAAGCACCGGCUAACUACGUGCCAGCAGCCGCGGUAACAC